rnacentral:rRNA from 1 species
CCUACGGGGGGCUGCAGUGGGGAAUAUUGGACAAUGGGGGGAACCCUGAUCCAGCCAUGCCGCGUGUGUGAAGAAGGCCCUCGGGUUGUAAAGCACUUUCAGUGAGGAAGAACGCCUGGUGGUUAAUACCCAUCAGGAAAGACAUCACUCACAGAAGAAGCACCGGCUAACUCCGUGCCAGCAGUCGCGGUAAUACGGAGGGUGCGAGCGUUAAUCGGAAUUACUGGGCGUAAAGCGCGCGUAGGUGGCUUGAUAAGCCGGUUGUGAAAGCCCCGGGCUCAACCUGGGAACGGCAUCCGGAACUGUCAAGCUAGAGUGCAGGAGAGGAAGGUAGAAUUCCCGGUGUAGCGGUGAAAUGCGUAGAGAUCGGGAGGAAUACCAGUGGCGAAGGCGGCCUUCUGGACUGACACUGACACUGAGGUGCGAAAGCGUGGGUAGCAAACAGGAUUAGAUACCCUAGUAGUC